rnacentral:tRNA from 1 species
GCCGAGAUCGCAUAGCGGUAUUGCGCAAGCCUGGAAAGCUUGUCCCGCAAGGGAUCGUGGGUUCAAAUCCCACUCUCGGCG